rnacentral:rRNA from 1 species
UACGUAGGGGGCGAGCGUUGUCCGGAAUGAUUGGGCGUAAAGGGCGCGUAGGCGGCCUGUCAAGUCAGUAGUGGAAGUCCAUCUUUCAAGGAUGGAAGUGCUACAGAAACUGAUGGGCUUGAGUGCAGGAGAGGAGAGUGGAAUUCCUAGUGUAGCGGUGAAAUGCGUAGAUAUUAGGAGGAACACCAGUAGCGAAGGCGGCUCUCUGGACUGUAACUGACGCUGAGGCACGAAAGCGUGGGGAGCAAACAGGAUUA